rnacentral:tRNA from 1 species
GGCCAAGGAGCGCAUCGUCCCCAUUUUCGAGCAAGGGUCUGCAAAACCCUCAUUCGGCGGUUCAAAUCCGCCCGUCGCCU